rnacentral:lncRNA from 10 species
AUAUCAUAUGUGUAUUAUAUACACAAAUACACAUGCAUACAUACAUACUUAUCUACGUCUAUAUCCUCUAUAUCUAUAUCUAUAUUUAUGGAGAUAUAGAUGGCAGGAAAGAGUGGGAGACUAUCUCCCCUACUGUCAUAUACUAAGGCUAGCACAGUGCCUGGCAGACAGCGUGUGUUUGAUAAAUAUACACUGAUUAGUCUUCUUGUGAGACAAAAACACAGAGUACUUUAAGAAAACACCUAUAUAAAACAUGUUGACCCAAUGACUACUGAAUAAAUACUCUUUUCCCUGAGUGAAAUGCCUUUUUUUCCCUUAUCUUUAUGAUCAACAGUCCUUUCUGAAGAAUCUGUUCAAAUGCCAUGUUUUGUUUUAAAAUCUUGCCAGAUUCUUUCAUCUUCUUAUUUAUACCCUACAACAACCUACAUGUGAAUUAACUCCUUUCUGGCUUUAUGUUUCUGGUAGCCAAAUGUCUGGUAUGAAAUUCUAUAAUAUGUUGAGAUUGUUUGUUUAUGUGAAACUUACAAAAUGAUGAGAUCUAAGACUAGUGAUCACAAACUCACUCAUCUUCAGUUUCCAAGCAUCUGGCUAGCAGAGUUCCUAGCUUGUAAUCAUUAUUGAAUCCAUGAAUGAAUGAAGGAGUGAAGAAUAAAUGAGCUAGUAUCAGUGCCUGAACACCUUUGUCUGGUCCUUGCAGCCCCCUCCCAACUGCCUUUUCUUCCUUCUCUCAAGUAUUUCAGUUCUUAGUUCUUUGCUCCACCAAACAAAUCACCUGCGGCUUUGCUCAUGUGACUUUAUUUUUCCCUCUGCACCUUUACACACAGCAUUUCAUGCACACCUCCUAUUCCCCAUGCCUCUUGUGCAAUUCAAGUGGAAAUUCCUACCCAUAUUCAACCUCUAUAUGACUAUUCAUUUAUUUAGUCAUUUUUUCCUCCUUUAUCUUUUAUUUACAUAAUUUACAUUGUUCAUUUGUACUUUCCAUUUAUUUACAUUUUUUGGUGUGUUUUUAAAGGUGUUUUAAAAUAUCUUUAGAGAUUUAAGUUUGCCAAGGGUCAGUUGUACGUUGACUAAUACAACUCUCAAGACUCAGUGGCUUAAAGCAAAAACUUUUUUUCUUUUUUUAUUAUUACUUAACACCAUCCAUGUAGCAUGUCACCUCUGAAAAACAGAAAGAAAAGAGUGAAAGGGAGAGCAUAGUAAAUCAUACACUGGCUCUUGAAACUUUACCUGGAAGUGACUCUGCUCAUCUGUGAAGCAAGUCAUUGUGCCACGCCUGACUUCCAAGGGUAGAGAAGUGUGAUGUUACUGUAUACCUGGAAAGUGUAGAAGUCUUUCAUCAACAGCACUAAUGAUCACAUAAGACUUCUAUUCCCUUUGAAGGUUCCUAUCGGUUCUAGUAUAGAGCUUUGAACAUGGGGGGAAAUCAGUAAAUGCUAACUCUUUGCUUGACCUGAGGUAUAUUCAUUCCAUAAUUCUCUCUUGACUUGAUUUUGAGUGGUGGUUCUCUUGGAGAUGAAACCCAAGUUCUGCAAGAGCAAGAAAAUGAACUGUACCCAAAAUACAAAGGCAAAAAACACUUUAAAUGCUUUAGCACUUUCUGAACUUGGCAGUGAUAAAGACCUCACUAACAGUGUAGAUGAACUUGAUAUUGUGGCCCUAUUUAAAAAAAAAAAAAGCACUAAAUCCUUCCAGCUGGAGAUAAUUGAUGAAAUGGCUAUAUCUCAAAGUUUCCCUGGCUGCCACUAACAGUGUUAAAUUAGAUAACUAGCAGCAGCAUUUUGAGGAGAUGGAAACCAUCUGAUACCAGAGAAUAGAAAAUAGAAAUAGAUAAAAGCAUGAGAAUUCUGAAAGCUAUUGUGUGAGUUUUCUGAAGUUCAAGCUGUACUACCUUAAGAAGUUG